rnacentral:rRNA from 1 species
UACCAGACUCCUACGGGAGGCAGCAGUGGGGGAUAUUGCACAAUGGGGGAAACCCUGAUGCAGCGACGCCGCGUGGGUGAAGAAGCGCCUCGGCGCGUAAAGCCCUGUCAGCAGGGAAGAAAAUGACGGUACCUCAUGAAUAAGCCACGGCUAACUACGUGCCAGCAGCCGCGGUAAUACGUAGGUGGCAAGCGUUAUCCGGAUUUACUGGGUGUAAAGGGCGUGUAGGCGGGACUGCAAGUCAGAUGUGAAAAUUAUGGGCUCAACCCAUAACCUGCAUUUGAAACUGUGUUUCUUGAGUACCGGAGAGGUCAUCGGAAUUCCUUGUGUAGCGGUGAAAUGCGUAGAUAUAAGGAAGAACACCAGUGGCGAAGGCGGAUGACUGGACGGCAACUGACGGUGAGGCGCGAAAGCGUGGGGAGCAAACAGGAUUAGAUACCCCGGUAAA